rnacentral:rRNA from 1 species
GUUUCAGCCGCCGCGGUAAGACGAACCGUGCGAACGUUAUUCGGAAUCACUGGGCUUAAAGCGCGUGUAGGCGGGCCGGUGCGUCGGCCGUUGAAAUCCCCCGGCUCAACCGGGGAACGGGCGCCGAUACGACCGGCCUGGAGCGACGUAGGGGGGACUGGAACUUCCGGUGGAGCGGUGAAAUGCGUUGAGAUCGGAAGGAACGCCCGUGGCGAAAGCGAGUCCCUGGACGUCGGCUGACGCUGAGACGCGAAAGCCAGGGGAGCGAACGGGAUUAGAUACCCUAGUAGUCC